rnacentral:tRNA from 1 species
GGAGGGUUGGCAGAAAGGCUAUCGCACCGCUCUUGAAAAGCGGAGCCCGCAAGGGCUUAGAGGUUCGAGUCCUCUACCCUCCG